rnacentral:rRNA from 1 species
UACGAAGGGGCUAGCGUUGCUCGGAAUCACUGGGCGUAAGCGCACGUAGGCGGACUCUUAAGUCGGUGGUGAAAUCCUGGAGCUCAACUCCAGAACUGCCUUCGAUACUGAGAGUCUCGAGUCCGGGAGAGGUGAGUGGAACUGCGAGUGUAGAGGUGAAAUUCGUAGAUAUUCGCAAGAACACCAGUGGCGAAGGCGGCUUACUGGACCGGUUCUGACGCUGAGGCGCGAAAGCGUGGGAGCAACAGG